UACGUAGGGUGCAGGCGUUAAUCGGAAUUACUGGGCGUAAAGCGUGCGCAGGCGGUCUGCUAAGAGAGGAUGUGAAAUCCCCGGGCUUAACCUGGGAACUGCGUUUCUAACUGGCAGGCUUGAGUGUGGCAGAGGGGGGUGGAAUUCCACGUGUAGCAGUGAAAUGCGUAGAGAUGUGGAGGAACACCGAUGGCGAGGGCAGCCCCCUGGGCUAACACUGACGCCUCAUGCACGAAAGCGUGGGGAGCGAAACAGG
rnacentral:rRNA from 1 species